CCUCCCGGAGCGCUGCCUGCUGCCGGUUGGGGACUGUUUUGAUGACGUAGCUGUCGUCGUCUUGCGGUUCCGGCAAGAUCGUCGAGAUCCUCCUGUUUUACAGGUUUAUUACCUUUCCACAUGCCCUGUGCCUGGGGCCUGUAAGACAUAAGCUGGCUUGCCAACCGCCAAUAAAAGAAUAGCAGAAACAACAGCAAAAAGCUUUCGCCGUGGAAGAUACCGUUGCUAAGGAGAAGGAAUUGAGGAGGACUCUUCAACCGAUGAGACUCGUCUUGGAAGACGGGGAAAUCCAGAGAUCUGGAAUGUGAACGCCCAGAAAAGUAGGAGAAUGAGGGGCCUGGAUUGAAGGAGGCAAGACUAAUGGGGACACCAUGCCAGUCUGCAACCUGCCAAAGGUUCACUAAACUCUGCUGCAGAAAAGCAGAAGACACAUCAUAACAACAAGAUUUCUAAGUAUUUCUGGGGGAAUUUGGACUGGAGAAAUGAUUGUGAAGUCUGUGGUGGAGGGGAGCAGUGUAAAGCGGCGGCGGACAGGAGCAGAUGAAUCCAGGAGGUCAGCAUCCAUUAUUUGUCACCUUGUAGUAGAUUGGAGAAGAAUCUGAGUGUGCCAACACUAGUUCCUGUCAACAUUAGGCAUAAAGCAGUGGUGUUUUUUGAAGUGGGCAGGAAGAAGAGGAGAAAGUCAUGAGAAGACUGAGGACAAGAACGGAAGGAAAAGAUACAACGUGGAUGGCACCGCUCAGAUGACUGGGAAGCCUAUCUGUCCCCAUCUCUUAAAAGAAGAGUAUCACCACAGCAGCCCCACUGUGCACAUCCAGCCAGCCAGUUAAAGAGCUGAAGUUCAAACAGCCCCAAGAACUGAAGGUUUUGCCCAAGAACUUCCACUCAUCCUACGAUGGACUGGACCACUAGUGAUGCCCGUCAGCAGCUGGAGCCUCACGCAGACGCACACACACUGAUGUACAUAGGCUAUA